UAUCACUUUGUAGUAUGAGUAAUUAAAAUACUUUUUUUUCUAGUUUGUUGUUUUCCUUUUGACUUUGCCUAUGCAGUGAACUCUCUUGCUAAACUGCUACUCUGCUGAGGACUUACUCACCUGCCUUUGGAGGUCAGAGAGGGUAGCUCAUUUAAACCCACUCUGCUUUGGCGGGCUCUCAUUAAACCUCAUGAAAGAUUCCACAGAACAGAGGCCAGAAGCCUGAGCUCCAGACAUACUUAGGCCUGCCAUUCUCUAUGUGAUCUUAAACCAAAUUUUGAUAACUCCUGACAUCAGUUUCCUCAUUUACAGAAAUAAUAAUUAUUCUAACUUUAUGUAGCUGUUUGAUGAUUAAAUAAGAUAAUGCAUAUAAGGUCAUCUAGCACAGAGUGUGAUCCACAGUAAAGGUUUGAUGCAUGGUAUUUGCUUUUUAAUUAUUAGUGUUUACCAAGAUCAAGCUAAUGUUUUGUGAAUGGCUGCUAUUUUGUCCUGAUGCCACUCCCCAUCAGUGUACAAGAGAAAAUUCUGUGACCACAUGCCGUUGGCUCACCUGUUAUGUCUGGUUUGCUUUGUGCAUGGAGUUCUGGAUUGCAGCCAGUACCAUUGAGUGCUUUGAUGAAGGUUGGCUGCUCUGAGAGUUUGAGUUUUUGCCAGGCUCUUUGGGUACAUCUACCAUAGCAUCCUUUGUGCCUUUAUUGUCCUGAGCUCUGCAUGAUUAGCCUUCUGAUGGUCUUUCAGAAAAGAGAAAAGGAAAGAAUGGAGGCGUGGUUAAAGACCCCACAUGGCUCACUCACCUGUUUCCCCUGGGAUGAUCAAAGUUACCUAGUUACCUGUCAUCUGACCAGGACUCACAGCUCUGGAGCUGACAGGUAUAGACUGGUCUAAGCCAGCAUUCAGGAAGGCCACUCAACUGGAACAGCAGGCAUCAGAGUAGAAAGAAUAAGCCUGAGCUCUCCAGAACAUCCAAGGUCAUAGAACAAAAUGGCCUUAGGGGAACAAAACUGGGUCCCUGUACCUAGUUCUCCUCCUGUACUGUCUCUUAGAACCCAAUAAUGCUUACAAUUUUAUAUAUCUCUUCUGCAAGUCUGUAAGUUUCAAGAGGUCAGAGACCACAUUUGUCUUGUUCACUACCAAGAAUAGGGCCUUGAUCUAUGUGGUGGUUACCUGGGUAUGUUUGCUUUGUGUUAAUUCAUCAGGCUCUUGGCACAGUGCCUGAUGCCCGGUAUUCACUGAAUGGAUGAGUACGUGAGUCAUAGAGUCUCAGGUAUUCAUUCGGAUCAUUCAUCUACUACAUGCUUGAAUCCUUGCCUCAUUCCUACCAAGAGUUUGCUAGCAUUUAUCAUUUAAACACCUCUGAUGACAACAAGCUCUCUACUGCUCAAGGCUGCCUGUUCAUUUUCUGUUUAGGUCUCUUGCCUAGAAAGUUCUUCUUAAUAUUGAACUGAAAUAUGCCUCCUUGAGGCUUCUGGUUAGUAUUCUUGUUCUAUCCUUUAUGGCCACACAAAUCAAGUCUGGGUCUUCUUCACCAUGACAACUCUUCAGACAUUUGUGGUUAGUUCUCACACCCACUUCUUCUCUAGAUAACCACAAAAUCAUUGAAUAUACACACAUUUGUUGAAUGUCUGUAACAUGGAACAGAUUAGAGAACAUACAGGUGAAACAAUAUAAUAUCAUUGUCUAGUGGUUACUGGUCUUGAGGGAGCCAGAGAAAUUAAGACUUAAUGUGCUAAGUGUUAGGGAAAUGGAGACACAGGAAAAGAGAAUUCGAGCCUACCUAGGGGUCUUAGGGAAGGUUACAAGGUAGACCAAGAAGAGAAGGAUGUUCCAAGAAAAGGGAAUAGCACAUGCAAAAGUCUGGAGCUAUAAAAGCCCAGGGCAUGUUAUGGGAACUCCAAGUUGUUCUAGAUGGCUAGGGAGACCAGAAGACCCAGAUUGUUAGAACAGAUCAAUUUAUGCUUGCUGUCCCAGAAAACUUAAUAGUAUGUCCUUAGUUUCAAAAUCAUCCCAGAUAGUCACUGUAAGUAUGGUUGGGACAUAAAGUCUGAGAGUGAGGUGGAAAUGGGAGACAUGAAGAUGGAGAGAAGCAGUGGCUGAUCAUAGGGGUCGUUGUGGCCAAGUUCAAGAAAGGCAUUCAGUUAACCGGGCUUCUUAUGGUGUCUUUCCCUUCAAGAUUAUCUUCUCCAGAUAUGAUCUAAUUCACAGAUAGAUCAAUACAGUCAUUGACAGAUGAUUAUUGCCGUGGAUUGCCAUUUACGGAGCAAUUACCAGCUGGGAGUCUCACUAUGUUGCUCAGGCUGAUCUAGAACUGCUGGGCUCAGACAACCCUCUCGCCUCAGCGUUCCAAAGUGCUGGGAUUACCGAGGCACCACUGACCUCGAUGGAAAAAUGAAGUCCCCGGCCCAGGAAAGAGACCCAACUCUGUGGCUGUUUUGGAUUAGUUUGUACAAUGCCCUGCAGCCUUACUUUCUCAGGAGGCUCCAAGUGACCAAAUGUGACCAGGAAGUUUUUUGUUAAAGGCAGUCUGGAAGAGAAGUUGUGACCGUCGGCAUCCCACAGCCGCCCCAGGACGGCCUGGUUGAGACAUUCACUGGAGGGCCUGGGUGCAGCCCGCUGCCUGGCCAGUAGGCGGCGCGCACAC